UUAGCGCGUGAGCAGUUUAUGCUUAACGCUAAUUGGCCUGUGGACAGGCCAGUCUAUGGUGAGGGGGUGGACGCUGAGGCUGCUGCUGAUGAUGAUGUUGAUGAUGAGGCUACCGGUUCUGAGGCCGGUAGCGAAGAGGAGUCCUGAGCCCUUUGUGGGUUAAGUUUUUGUGUGUUUUCAGUUUUUAUGUUAUUUCUAUUUGUAUCUUCGGAUUUUGUAUUUUGACCAUGGUGUUGUACUAUUGGGGUGUUUUGUCCCCCACGAACAAAUUUAUAUUUUCAGUUAAUGUUAUUUAUUUUUGUUUUUAAUUUUGUGUGUUUAAUAAAUUUUUGGUUGAUUGAGUGGCAAACCCUUCUAGAUUGGUUGCUCCUCAAGAAGUACCCAAUGAAGGUGCAUCCGAGCUUGGAUGGCAAUGAUAAGAAUAAACAAGUGAAUGAAGCUAAGGUACAUGGUUACCGUCGGCUAGAAUUUUAGAAUGCAUUAGGAACUUUACUCUUUUUGGUAAAUUGAAUAUUGUCUUUUUGCAACAUAAUU
rnacentral:lncRNA from 1 species